CAGACAAAGGCAUUCUUCCCAUCCAAACUCUUCACUGGUGAAUUUUUCUUGAAUUUGACCAUCUGGGGAAGGGGCGUGGCCACUCCUGACAGGAAGGCUCUGGGGCCCAGGCAGGGAGUAUGAGGUCUCAGAAUGAUGCCCUUGAAAGACCUGUUCCCCUUUCAUCAAUGUACAGACCCAGAAGACCCCCUCCGUCCUGCAGCCCAUGCCAUGAGCAUCAGGCUCCUGUGCUGUGCGGCCUUUUGUCUCCUGUGGCCAGGUCCAGUGAGUGCUGGUGUCACUCAGACCCCAAAAUUCCAAGUCCUGAAGACAGGACAGAGCAUGACACUGCAGUGUGCCCAGGAUAUGAACCAUGAGCGCAUGUACUGGUAUCGACAAGACCCAGGCAUGGGGCUGAGGCUGAUUCAUUACUCAGUUGCUGAGAAUACCACUGACAAAGGAGAAGUCCCCGAUGGCUACAGUGUCUCCAGAUUAAACAAAAAGGAUUUCCUGCUCAGGCUGGAGUCGGCUGCUCCCUCCCAGACAUCUGUGUACUUCUGUGCCAGCAGUGAAGCCACAGUGCUGCAUGGCCGUCUCCUC